CCUACGGGAGGCAGCAGUGAGGAAUAUUGGUCAAUGGACGCGAGUCUGAUCCAGCCAUGUAGCGUGAAUGAUGACUGCCCUCUGGGUUGUAAACUUCUUUUAUAUGGGAAUAAAAUGUUCAGCGUGUGGGUUUUUGUAUUUACCAUAUCCAUAAGGAUCGGCUAACUCAGUGCCAGCAGCCGCGGUAAUACGGAGGAUCCGAGCGUUAUCCGGAUUGAUUGGGUUUAAAGUGAGCGUAGGUGGAUUGUUAAGUCAGUUGUGAAAGUUCGUGGCUCAACCGUGAAAUUGCAGUUGAAACUGGCAGUCUUGAGUACAGUAGAGGUGGGCAGAAUUCGUGGUGUAGCGGUGAAAUGCUUAGAUAUCACGAAGAACUCCGAUGGCGAAGGCAGCUCACUGGACGGCAACUGACACUGAGGCUCGAAAGUGUGGGUAUCAAACAGGAUUAGAUACCCUAGUAGUC
rnacentral:rRNA from 1 species